rnacentral:rRNA from 1 species
UACGUAGGGGGCAAGCGUUGUCCGGAAUCAUUGGGCGUAAAGAGCGUGUAGGCGGCCUGGUAAGUCCGCUGUGAAAGUCCAGGGCUCAACCUUUGAAAGCCGAUGGAUACUGUGAGGCUAGAGUCCGGAAGAGGCGAGUGGAAUUCCUGGUGUAGCGGUGGAAUGCGCAGAUAUCAGGAGGAACACCAAUAGCGAAGGCAGCUCGCUGGGACGGUACUGACGCUAAGGCGCGAAAGCGUGGGGAGCGAACAGG